rnacentral:rRNA from 1 species
AUGAACAACGUGCCCGGAAGACUGGGAUAGUCAGGGGAAACCCUGGGUAAUACCAGAUGUGGUCGGUCUUUGGCAUCUUAGAUCGAUUAAAUGGUUUUUCGCUUCCGGAGCGGUUCAUGGCCUAUCAGGUAGUUGGUGAGGUAACGGCUCACCAAGCCGACGACGGGUAGCGGGUCUGAGAGGAUGAUCCGCUCGAGUGGGACUGAGACACGGCC